GUGUCAGCAGCCGCGGUAAUACAGAGGGUGCGAGCGUUGUUCGGAAUUAUUGGGCGUAAAGCGCGUGUAGGCGGCGCUGCAUGUCGGGUGUGAAAGCCCUCGGCUUAACCGGGGAAGUGCGCCCGAAACUGCAGUGCUUGAGUGCCGGAGAGGGUAGCGGAAUUCCGGGUGUAGAGGUGAAAUUCGUAGAUAUCCGGAGGAACACCAGUGGCGAAGGCGGCUACCUGGACGGACACUGACGCUGAGACGCGAAAGCGUGGGUAGCAAACAGGAUUAGAUACCCCCGUAGUCC
rnacentral:rRNA from 1 species